rnacentral:rRNA from 1 species
CCUACGGGAGGCAGCAGUGAGGAAUAUUGGUCAAUGGACGAGAGUCUGAACCAGCCAAGUAGCGUGAAGGAUGACUGCCCUAUGGGUUGUAAACUUCUUUUAUAUGGGAAUAAAAUGUUCCACGUGUGGGAUUUUGUAUGUACCAUAUGAAUAAGGAUCGGCUAAAUCCGUGCCAGCAGCCGCGGUAAUACGGAGGAUCCGAGCGUUAUCCGGAUUUAUUGGGUUUAAAGGGAGCGUAGGUGGAUUGUUAAGUCAGUUGUGAAAGUUUGCGGCUCAACCGUAAAAUUGCAGUUGAAACUGGCAGUCUUGAGUACAGGAGAGGUGGGCGGAAUUCGUGGUGUAGCGGUGAAAUGCUUAGAUAUCACGAAGAACUCCGAUUGCGAAGGCAGUUCACUGGACUGCAACUGACACUGAGGCUCGAAAGUGUGGGUAUCAAACAGGAUUAGAUACCCUAGUAGUC